rnacentral:misc_RNA from 1 species
CUGAAUCAAGAUUAGGGAUUUAACGUUUUAGAUCUCCUUCGAAGGUAAGAGUUCAAAAGUUGAGAAGCUGUGUGAUUCCCAAAGAUUACAGCAAUGUCAAUGGAGGAAGGCAAUGUUGAUGAAGUGCCGGAAAUUCACGUUGAAGGUUAUACCGUAAAUCCUGAGAAACAGUUUUCUGGCACCCACCAUGGAAGGAAUGGGAAUCUCGCCAAAGAAAAUGGAUUGCAUGAUGACAGUCCGUUGACAGAGACUGCUCAUGAGCAGCUUGUACAAAUGGUUAUUGAGCUAAAGUUUCAGAAUGAGUUCUUGAAGUCUCAAUUUGAGGCUUUGAAAAAUCUUCAGUCAGCAGAUGAUGAAUCUCAACAAAGGACAAAAGCAAGUGGUAAAAAAACUGGGGAAUCUGCUGAUAUGGAGGAACUCCAUAAAAGAAUUGAAUCUUUGAGUAGAGAACUUCACGAAGAAAAACAAACACGAGUUGCAGCAGAGGAGGCUUUGAAGCAUCUUCGUGAGGCACACUCUGAAGCAGAUGCAAAGGCCCAAGAGCUCUCAGCAAAGCUUGCUGAAGGUCGGAUGUUGUCUGUUUAUUUGAAGUUUAAUACUGAGUUUCAGAGAGGUCUUGUUAUGAUUCUCUAUAGAUACAACUUUUAAUUUUGGAGAAAAGAAUAUUUAUGUAUGUGGACAAGAGGUUUAGAUUUUCCUUGAGAAUAUCUUAAAAGAGAAGAAAAAAAAAAAGAAAAAAAGAGAAGGAAAGAAAGAAAGAAAGAACGAUGCAUAACUAACCAUUCAAUUGGCAUUUUGAAGAAAUCUGCUUGCCUUCUCAAACCAAGAAAAGUUUUUCCAAAUAUCUAGCACAGUGACUUCAUGUAGUGCUUAAAUCCCAAUUUUUAGGACCAGAAGACAUGAUGUUGGACACUCAACUCCAAAAAACUGGUAUCUCUGUAUGCUUAAUAGUUUGAUAUGCAAUUGCCACAGUAUGUUGCUUGGUGGUUGAAUACAAUAAGUCCAUAUAAUUGAUGACACACACCUUUCAUGAUAGAAAGCAUGUUUAUUAAGAAUGAUGGGUGUUUGCCUCAGCGUGCUAGGUUCAACAUCCCUUUACAUAAAGUGGUCCACUAAGCAAUUGAAACAAGGAGUAACCACUAACCACAAACAUAAGCGUGAAAGAGGACAAGCAUAUGCUACCUGUUUCUCUAUUUCUUUAGUCAC